GUGCACCAGUCGAGAAACCUCCGCAAUGCGGGAAAACCGCGACGGGGGGACCCCGAGUGCCGUGGCAACGCCACGGCUUUUCCGGAGUGUAAAAAGCUCCGGGAAUAAGGGCUGGGCAAGGCCGGUGGCAGCCGCCGCGGUAAUACCGGCGGCCCGAGUGGUGGCCGCUAUUAUUGGGCCUAAAGCGUCCGUAGCCGGGCCCGUAAGUCCCUGGCGAAAUCCCACGGCUCAACCGUGGGGCUUGCUGGGGAUACUGCGGGUCUUGGGACCGGGAGAGGCGGGGGGUACCCCUGGGGUAGGGGUGAAAUCCUAUAAUCCCAGGGGGACCGCCAGUGGCGAAGGCGCCCCGCUGGAACGGGUCCGACGGUGAGGGACGAAGGCCAGGGGAGCAAACCGGAUUAGAUACCCCCGUAGU
rnacentral:rRNA from 1 species